CAGGUGCCAGCCGGUCCUGUGCUUGGAGCCGAGCGCGAUGUAGUUGGCGUACUUGAUGGCCGUGUUCAUGACCAUGUCGUGCACGGUGACGGGCGCCUGGCUGGCGAAGGCGUCCUCCUGCCGCAGGUGCACCUCGCCGUCGCGCCUUGACGUCCAGUAGCGGGGACCUGUGGGCAGGCGGGGCCCGGGGGCCAGGAGACCCCAGCGCAAUAAUAUAGUACGCGUACAAAGCGCUUGCUUCAGCGUCGUUUGUGGUGAUGAAAGAUGGAGAAAAAGCCGUAAGAAUCCCAGCAACAAAAGGCCCCGUUGAGUAAAUGAGGGUACGUGCCCCCAGCGGGAUACCACGCGACUGCUGAAGACGGGGCAGCUGUGUGCUCGGACAGGGGAACGUUCUCUACCGGGGGGGACAUUGGACAUUGAACUUCAGACAUUGAACCUCUGCGUCUGUCCCCGAGGUUGCUUCCUCUGGGGGAGCCAGCCGCCGCACGACGUUCCGUGACCUCAGGGCCACUGCAUGGCGGGGUACCCCAGGCCACGUGAGACAGGUGAGUGCUCCCUUCUUGGGCCAGGAGGCACCAGCUGACGCUUCCUGGGGCCAAAGAAACUCCCCACUGAGCCCCGCCUGAACUCCAGACCCGGAAGGAAUCCACUGCUGGGGUUUUAAGGCAGCCCGAGUCACCCGACACAUUAUCUGAAGUAAUUUACUCCAUGAGGCAUCUCUAAGAGGCACAAGCCGUUCUGGUCUCCCUGUUACAGAUGGGGAAACUGAGGCCCCGAGAAGAUGAGGAACUUGUCCCAGGCCACACGGCCAGCAAGUGGGAGUGCCGGGACUCAGACCCGGGUGGGCUCACUGGGGGAACCUGUGCCCAUCACCCUUAUGGGAGGGGAACGUUUCCCCGGACACGACGGGCGAGACGAGAGGGAGAGACGCUGGCCAGGGUAGGGUGAGGGUCUACCUAGGUUCCUUGCAUCCAUUUAUUCACGGAUUCCAUAGAGGCCCUGGGGUGCUUUAUUUUUGUGGGUGUUUUCAACAUGGAAGCCCGGGAGGGCUUUGUGGAGGUGAUAACGUGUGAGCAGGGACCUGAAGUAGGUGAAGCUACAAGCCGUGGGGCUCUCUGGCAACAAGAGCGAGCAGAGGGCACGGCCGGCGCAGGGCCUGGCGCGUCUGCUGACUGUCCAUCUAGGCUGGGAGGCAACUUCGCGUAAACACUAGCGAUCGUGCUGAUGGAGACCCACCAUCGCCGGUCGGGGGCGCAUCCUGUGGACGCUUUUCUGCUUCUAAAAAGCACACGCGUGCGCCUUGCUUGCUGACGUUGUUUAGUUUUUAACACAGGGCACGGUUUGCCCCGUCUGCCGCUCUGCACCUGGCUUGGACGUGUUUACGUCGCGUCUUUGCUUAAGCCCCAACCUGCUUUCUGUUCCUGUGGAUAAGUUGGCAUUUCUUAGGGUUUUAUAUAAACGGAAUCCCUUAGCAUCUGUUCCCUUUUUUUCUCCUUUUUUUCUCCUGUAACGAUGAUCUAAAUUGCUUUCGCUAAAAAGACAUAAAUUGCUUUCGCUUGUGGACUCUGUCCAGACAUAUAUGUCUUUUCCAAAGACGCAGCCUUUCCCAAGUAACCAAAACAGCGACUUCUGCUUUACUUCCGAAGCACAGAAUGUGUGUUCUGCUCUCUCACACACGUGUCUUACUAUCAAACACCGUCCGUCCUGAGCUCUCUCCAAACGGGAACUCAUUUCAUUUUCAAAACAGCCCGCCAGGCGGGGAUUGUCGCACCACACCCAUUUUACAGAUGCGCAAACCGAGGCCUGGGGCCAUUGGGUUAAGUCCUGAACGCAGGUCUGCUCUGAAGUCCUUGAUUUCAGCCCUUGUGCUACACUGCCCUCUUUGCAAGUGUUCUCAUGGCUGUUCCAUGCUUCACUGGGUGGGAGCCGUCGUGUGCCGGGCCCCUAAAUGCCACCCUGCCCCUGUGGGUCAAGAAUGGAAAGAGCCUGAGGGCCCCUGGCCCAGGGUGCAGGGACUCCGGGUGCUACCGAGUUCAUCACUGUUGGCAAAGACCACACUUACGUUGUCGUGGCUAAGCAUCACUCCCUUGGGGAUGCCUAAGGUCCCAGAAGUAUAAAUGAUCACUGCACACUGAUUGGGCCUCUGGCUUUCCAUGAUCUGGUCCAGCUGGGAAUCGGGGAUGCUGUGACCAAGCUCCAUGAAAUCAUUCCACUGUGGAAAGAAGAGACAGGCGGAGCAUGAGGACCCCAGAUGUGAGGGCGACCCACGACACGCCAGGGGUCGCCCUCCCCAGUCAGGUCGGGUACCAGCAGCCUCUCUAAAGCACGAUUGCCAGCAUGAGGGAAGGCUUAGGAUCACCAGUCCUGGUGCCUCUUUAAAAAGCCCUAAAAUGUUUGCUUCUCCUCCUCCACUUCCUGGCCCGGCUGCUGGGUCUGGGCAUGUGACGGCCGCUGGUCCAAUCGCACUGAAGGUCAGGGCUUUUGCUGGAAGUGCUGGGGCAGGAGUGAGUCAUCUGGACACGAAUGAGUCAAGAUGUAGCCCCGGGAGCCGCCAAAGGUCACCCGGCAAGUAAACAGGAACCAGCCUUCUGAACCAAGGUGGCCAGACUCCAGAGCCUGUGCGCUUAACUGCCUUCAACUACGAUGCCUCAGAAGGCGCUGCUGGGUUGUGUGAACGGAGUGACCGCACAGGAUCUGUAGCACUUCUACCCGGGAGCCCCAGCACGGCUCUGGGUGAGGGCAGUGCCCUGGAUUCCAGACGGAGGGCACGCAGCGUCCUCCAGAAGUGGAGCCAGGGUGAUGCCGGCCCCACGGCAGCAGGUCAUGUCUGAGGGCGUUUGUGGUUUCAGCGAGGACAGCGCUGCUGACAUCUAGCAGGUGGAGGCCAGGGGCACCGCCUGGCAUCCGACACCUCACAGUUCGGCCGCACGACUAAGAAUGAUCCACCCCAGAUGUCCAGAGCAAUGAGGUUGAGAAACCCCACUGUAGGUAGUGUUGCUAACAAGGGAGUUUUUUGUUUUUGUUUUUGUUUUUUAAGGUAUCCAGACCUCAGAUAUUGUUGCUGUGGUGGCCACUCUUAACCUCUAAAAUGUCUGUGAUUCUGAUCAGCUUUCUUCCUUAAUCAGUCGCCAUCCUGGUCUUGAUAUUUGAGUGUUUUCUGGAAGGCACACAAGCUGCCGAGGGUUCUGGUUGGUAGAAAGGAUCAUGGGCGCCUUUUGUCUGCCUUGCACGGAGGGCAACCCAGAAAAACUCCGUGACGUGUUAGGACUUUUGAUCCAAGUCAUGAGUUUGAGAGUCUGAUCACAUGGGCGUUAACAGGAGCUUGUCUCGUGGCUUCUGUGAGAUCACUCCAUGUACCGUCAUGCACCUCACCCCUGCUUCGGCUAGCCUGACGUCACCAUGCUUGGAGAGGCCGCAGAGAGAGAGGGAGGUAUAUAGGAGGAGGAGCCCGGGCUGCAGGACCAGAGUGAGGACUCGACACUUAGCCUCUAGGGCAAAGUUUAAGAAGAUGCAAACAACAGAAUAAAACAAAAGGGCAACAAACCUUUGGUAAUCAACAUAAGUGGUAUUUUAAUGCAAUAUUUUUAAAGUCACUAACAACGUAAAAAAAAAAAAAAAAUCCAUGAU